rnacentral:rRNA from 1 species
GUCCAGACUCCUACGGGAGGCAGCAGUGGGGAAUAUUGGGCAAUGGGCGCAAGCCUGACCCAGCAACGCCGCGUGAAGGAAGAAGGCUUUCGGGUUGUAAACUUCUUUUCUCAGGGACGAAGAAAGUGACGGUACCUGAGGAAUAAGCCACGGCUAACUACGUGCCAGCAGCCGCGGUAAUACGUAGGGGGCAAGCGUUAUCCGGAUUCACUGGGUGUAAAGGGAGCGCAGGCGGUACGGCGAGUCUGAUGUGAAAACCCGGGGCCCAACCCCGGGACCGCGCCGUAUACUGCCGGACUCGAGUGCCGGAGGGGCAGGCGGAAUUCCUGGUGUAGCGGUGAAAUGCGCAGAUAUCAGGAGGAGCACCGGUGGCGAAGGCGGCCUGCUGGACAGUAACUGACGCUGAGGCUCGAAAGCGUGGGGAGCGAACAGGAUUAGAUACCCCGGUAAU